UCCUCUGUAUGGCCCUGUAUUGCUCUGUAUAGAAGCAUUUCAUCUUCACAACAGCUCUAAGAGCCGUGUGAAAAUGGACUUAUACAAAGAGGAACUAGGGGAGCUUGGAGGAACCACAGAGACUCAAUCAGAGAUUCAGGUGAAAUCUUUGUUGCAAACCCUUGGGCAGGCGAGAACUCCUGGACUCCUGCAGGGGACGUGGGAGGAGCUGUACAUACAGACAGUGCUGUCCCGCCAAUGUGGGUUCAAGCCCUGCAUCUGUCACCUGCUGUGUGGCCUUUAUCAAGUGUCUUAAGGUCUCCAGGCUUGUUUUCUUAUCUGUAAGAUGAGAAUCUUCUUCCACAAACCAUGUUUAUUUAAAAUACAUGCUUAUUUUGAAAGUGAUGUAGCAACAUUUUCUCUAGUCAAUGUUCUUUCUCACUCAUAAUUUUAAAACAUUUAUUCAUGACUAACGAGGAUAUUAAAUCUGUGACUUUAUUUAUUUUUGCUAAAUGCCCAUCUCAAAUAAGAAUAUUAUUUUAUAUAGCUAAGUGUCUUUAAAAAAAUAAGGCUUAGUAAUGCAUAUCUACAAUAAAAAUAUUUGACAAU